AUGGCCAAAGUCACCAGGAAAUGGGAAAUGUUCCCUGGUCGAAACCGAUUCUGCUGUGACGGCCGGCUCAUGAUGGCACCGCAUGCGGCAGUGUUCUACAUCAAUGUGAUCCUCAUCAUUGGUACGAGCGUCCUCUUCUUUGUAUUCGACUGUCCAUACCUUAGCCGUCGUGUGACUCCUGUGAUUCCAGUUAUUUCAGGAGUGUUAUUUCUCUUUGUCAUUGGCUCGUUGUUCAAGACUAGUUUCACGGACCCAGGUAUUAUUCCCAGGGCGACUGAUGACGAAGCUGCUUACAUUGAGAAACAAGUUUACAUAAGUAUACCAAACAAUGGAGGAACCCCCACUAUACGACCACCUCCUAGGACCAAAGAGGUGGUCAUCAAAGGCAAUUCAAUCAAGUUAAAAUAUUGUGUAACGUGCAAGAUAUUUAGACCGCCAAGAGCUUCCCAUUGUAGUUUAUGCAACAAUUGUGUUGAAAAUUUCGAUCAUCACUGUCCAUGGGUAGGAAAUUGUGUUGGUCGUCGGAACUACAGGUUUUUCUAUAUGUUUAUUGUUUGUUUAUCUUUACUUAUCAUCAUCGUGUUCAUUGGAGCAGUACUACAUUUAUUUUAUUUAUCUGAAAAUAGAUUAAUGGUAGAUGCUAUUUCUGAAUCACCUACGAGUGUAAUAGUAGUAAUUAUUACAUUCUUUAGUUGUUGGAGUGUAAUUGGACUGGCUGGAUUUCAUACAUUUCUUGCUGCAUCCAACCAAACGACUAAUGAAGAUAUUAAAGGAUCUUUUGCCAGUCGGACAGGACGGCCAAAUUCCAAUCCAUAUAGUCGAGGUAACAUCUGUGCCAAUUAUUGUUAUGUAUUGUGUUCUCCUCGUCCUCCAAGUCUUUUAGAUAGACGUGGUGUAGUUCUAUCAUUAACCGAAUCUAAAUCAUUGAACAAAAGUCAGAGUAGAGAUACAGUUAUAUCUAAUAAAGGGUUUGAAGUUUCUGAUGCACCUGUUAACCAAAAUGGCAAAACAAAUACUGAUGAAAUACAAUUGCAUCAAUAUGGUUCAUCUAGUAUGUUACAACCAGAUAGUUUAGACCGCAAUCAACAUACAUUUACAACAUCAAUGCCAAGUAUUCAUCAUUCGCAAAAUAAUCAUAUGCAUCAAAGUCAUAUUAUAAAUGGUUUGUAUCAAAAGCCACCAACCUCUCAUUCUUCAAUCCUUAUAGCAUCACAUCAUCAUUACCCAACUGACUAUUUUUUAGUUCCUACGAACCCAAAUUAUUUUUAUGCUAGUUUACCUUUGCGCAGGGACCGUGCAGCAAUGUAUUAUUCAGCUGUUUCUCGUGUACCUAGUUAUCGUUGUAGGAACAAUCAAAAACUUUACUAUAGUCACUGCAAUGAGCAUGGUGGGGGUACCACAUCAACUAGGAUGCACUUAUCAAAUAUAAAUAACUAGUUAAAUUAAUGCUCAUCUUUUUGGGAACUAUAAAGAAAAUAAUUUAAUUGUUAAUAAAUAUUUUGUUUCUUUUUAAAUGCCUUUCACUACCAUGUAAGUUGAUUAGGAUUAACAUUUACUGGUGUGAAAUUCAACAAAAGUGUAACUUCAUUGUCUAACACAUUCAAUGAUACUGGCAUAUACGAGACCAUUGAACCAGGUCGAUUAGAUCCAGAACUAGAUUUAGAUGAUGGGUCAAAAACUAUAUCUGGUGCUCCUCCAUU
rnacentral:misc_RNA from 1 species